GGAUUAGGCAUGCAAGUCGAACGCGAAAGCCGCAAGGCGAGUAAAGUGGCGGACGGGCGAGUAACACGUAAUCAAGCUACCUGCGAGACGGGAAUAACCUCGGGAAACCGAGGCUAAGACCCGAUGGUCUUUUUGGACUGCAUGGUCUGGAAAGUAAAUGGGCGGGAUCCUCCGGGACCGCCUGCUCGCAGAGGUGAUUGCGGCCCAUCAGCUAGUUGGUAGGGUAAUGGCCUACCAAGGCAACGACGGGUAGCCGGCCUUAGAGGGUGGUCGGCCGCACUGGGACUGAGACACUGCCCAGACUCCUACGGGAGGCUGCAGUCGAGAAUCUUCCGCAAUGGGCGAAAGCCUGACGGAGCGACGCCGCGUGGAGGAUGAAGGCCUUCGGGUUGUAAACUCCUGUCACGAGUUAAGAAGGAUCUGCCACGAACAGUGGUAGGUUUUGACGUAAGCUCGAGAGGAAGCACUGGCUAACUCUGUGCCAGCAGCCGCGGUAAUA
rnacentral:rRNA from 1 species